ACAAUAAAAGUAUAGUAUUUGCUUCAGCAACACAUAUAAUAGAGAAUAUUAGCAUGGUCCCUGCGCAAAGAUGACACCAAAUUCAUUAAGUGUUCCCUAUUUUU
ensembl:snRNA U6 U6 spliceosomal RNA